UACGAAGGGGGCUAGCGUUGCUCGGAAUCACUGGGCGUAAAGGGUGCGUAGGCGGGUCUUUAAGUCAGGGGUGAAAUCCUGGAGCUCAACUCCAGAACUGCCUUUGAUACUGAGGAUCUUGAGUCCGGGAGAGGUGAGUGGAACUGCGAGUGUAGAGGUGAAAUUCGUAGAUAUUCGCAAGAACACCAGUAGCGAAGGCGGCUCACUGGCCCGGUACUGACGCUGAGGCACGAAAGCGUGGGGAGCAAACAGG
rnacentral:rRNA from 1 species